GUCCAGGGAUGGGGAUCGAACCCACAGUGCUCCGCUCACCGGGCAGAUGCCAUAUCCACUAGGCUACCUUGGA
rnacentral:tRNA from 1 species